AUAUCAGUCAUGCAUAGCAUAUCAAUAAGCGGAGGAAAAGAAACUAACAAGGAUUCCCCUAGUAACGGCGAGUGAAGCGGGAAGAGCUCAAAUUUGAAAUCUUAAAAGGUUUUCCUUUUACGAAUUGUAGUUUAAAGAAGUGUUUUCUGUUAAAAUUUUAGUAAAAGUUCUUUGGAAUAGGACAUCAUAGAGGGUGAGAAUCCCGUAUUUGACUAGAAUUUUUUUAACUUUGUGAUACACUUUCAAAGAGUCGGAUUGUUUGGGAAUGCAGUCCAAAAUGGGUGGUAAAUUUCAUCUAAAGCUAAAUAUUGGCGAGAGACCGAUAGCGAACAAGUACCGUGAGGGAAAGAUGAAAAGAACUUUGAAAAGAGAGUUAAAUAGUACGUGAAAUUGUCAAAAGGGAAGCGUUUGGCACCAGUGUUGUUUUUCUAAAAAUCAAUUUAAAAUUUACUUAUGUUAAGUAUUUUUAGACUUUAUCAGCUAUAUAUUUAAUUUUUUGUAAUUUUUGAAUGCACUUUUUAGUUAACAAGUCAACAUCAAUUUCUUUUGUUGUAAAAAAAUAAGAGGAAGGUGGCUUGGAAUUUAUUUUCAAGUGUUUAUAGCCUUUUAUUCAUGCAAGUAGGAGAGAUUGAGGUCUGCAGCAUAGAUCCUUCGGGGCUAGAUGCAUUUUGUGCUAGAAGCUAGUAUUAUAUAAACAACUUGUUGAUUAUAUAAUAUAGUUGAUUUCUACUCGCUAGAUGUUAUUUUACCUACGCUUAGGAUGUUGACGCAUGAGAUAUACGC
rnacentral:rRNA from 1 species